UUUGAAAACAACUUUUUAGAAUGUAUUUUUUUUCUGUCAACUUUCAUUUAACACUCCAGUCCAGUUGAGGGCAGUAAUGCUCUUUCAUAGUCGGUCAAGCAUCCGCCAUUAAACUCCAGAGGAAGAUUUGCACCGGUGAUUUGAUGGUUUUAGCUACUGCUAAACAUGAACGAAAAUGACUGUGCGUUGUGUGAAAUGGUGGAAAAAGUACGGAGUUACUUUUUCAGUAUCGUUUUGAUAUUAAGCAAUGUCCCGGCGGAAAACAACCGAUCACACCGCGGCGGUCCAACAAGACUAACUCACGGUAAGAAAACUUUUAUGAAUAGCGAGCACGUGCAGCGAGACAAGUUGCUUUGUUUGUUUCUUAGAAAAAGCGGUCUGUUGUUUUCAUAUGUCAAAACAAGUGUAGGGUGAGAUUUCGUAUUGUAUUUUUUAUUACAUGUGAUGUUCUAAACUCUUAAAAAUACUCGCAUCUUCUUUUAUUUUUUUCAGACCUGAAAAAUGGCCAAGCCUUACCAGCCAGGCCUCAGACCACGGUACCGAGGAGCUCUUACGGAGUUCACCAGGACGAAGAGAAAUUCAUACAGCAAGGCAGAGUGUAGUAAGAGAUCUACAACAACGCAGACUGAGGACGGAUAUCAGGACCGACGCUCCAGAGAAUGGGAGUCACAUUUGUGUCAAUCAGAACUCUUCAGGAACGUUUUGAUGUCCUUAUGAGGACAGAGCUGCAACUGUCUGCAUCCAGGACCUACUGCCAGUCAUCCAGAUGUAG